CCUCGCCUCGCCCCGCCUCGCGUGGGCGCCUGCCGGGAAUGCCGCCGCGGGUCCGGUGAGUUCCGCGCCUAGAUGCCGCUGAUCCCGCCGUCUCUCUCUUGUGUCUCCCUCCCCGCCCUCCUGCAGGCAGCGCCGCCUCUGUCCCCGGCCGCUUCCGAAGGGAUGCUGGAGAAACUGGAGCUCGAGGAUGAAGGGAAGGUUCCAAAAAAAUUCUCUGUUGCUCUUUUGCAUCUGAAGAUAUUCCGUCAUGGUCAUUUACUGCCCCCUGUAAGCAGAAAUCUGGAGGACUCACAUACCUUUGCUGCAAGGCAAAUGAUCAGGGAUCAUGGAAGAACAGCAUCUGUUGGUGAAUCAGAAAGUGAUAUCUACAUGCGAUUCAUGAGGUCACAUAAGUGUUAUGAUAUUGUUCCAACAAGCUCAAAGCUUGUGGUUUUUGACACUACACUACAGGUAAAGAAAGCUUUCUUUGCUUUAGUGGCAAAUGGUGUUCGAGCAGCUCCACUGUGGGAGAGUAAAAAACAAAGCUUUGUAGGAAUGUUAACUAUUACAGAUUUCAUUAAUAUACUGCAUAGAUACUACAAGUCUCCAAUGGUACAAAUCUAUGAAUUGGAGGAGCACAAAAUUGAAACAUGGAGGGAGCUUUAUUUGCAAGAAACUUUUAAACCCUUAGUGAAUAUUUCACCAGAUGCAAGCCUUUUUGAUGCUGUAUAUUCACUGAUCAAAAACAAAAUCCACAGAUUACCAGUUAUUGACCCUGUGAGUGGAAAUGCACUUUAUAUACUUACCCAUAAAAGAAUACUCAAGUUUCUCCAGCUUUUUGUGUCAGAAAUGCCAAAGCCCGCCUUCAUGAAGAAAAAUCUGGAUGAACUUGGAAUAGGAACCUAUCAUAAUAUUGCCUUUAUACAUCCAGACACUCCUAUCAUUAAAGCCUUGAAUAUAUUUGUAGAUAGAAGGAUAUCAGCACUACCUGUUGUGGAUGAGUCAGGAAAAGUUGUAGAUAUUUAUUCCAAAUUUGAUGUUAUAAAUCUUGCUGCUGAAAAAACUUAUAAUAACUUAGAUAUCACAGUGACACAAGCUCUCCAACAUCGCUCUCAGUAUUUUGAAGGUGUUGUGAAAUGCAGUAAGCUGGAAACGCUGGAGACAAUUGUGGAUCGGAUAGUUAAAGCUGAGGUGGGUAUGACUGUUCAAAUACAAGAGAAGAGGAGCGUUAAAUUGCCUGGCCGGUUCAUCGGUUGGUGGUUGUGAAUGAAGCCGAUACUAUUGUUGGUAUCAUCUCCCUCUCUGACAUCCUCCAAGCGUUAGUGCUUACGCCAGCAGGUGCCUGGCAAAAGGAGAGUGAAACUGAAUGAUUGCUUUGAGCAGAAGCACCUUGGUAAGAAGAACUUGAAUAAAGGGACUGGGUCAUCUUUGCCUCAAGAACACUGAUGGCAGUAGAGAAGAACCAAGCGGUGAUGAGAAUGUGUGUGUAUUAGGCUAAGUGAUGGAUAGUCUAUUAUUUCCCAGUGACUGUCGCAAAACAAGCAGCAUGACAAAAAGCUUCUGUAUUAAAUGCAGGCUUGCAUUUCAAAAUGUUUGCCAAAAGAUUUCACCUGAUGUCCAUCUCAAAUGCACUGGAAGAAUACCAUUUAAUGUUACGUUUUAAUCUGAUGCAAGUCACUGGUCAGCAACAGAUCUCUGACAUAAGGCAAGUGUAUGGCAUAUUCAUAUCAGAGUGCCUUAUGUCAAAAAGCCAACAAUAUGUCAUCACUGUUGCCCAUCACAGUAAAAGGACGUGCUCUGUGAAACAAGACACUGUAUUUGAAAAUUCAAGUCGCUAAGCCUAAAACCAAAUCAGUUUCAGUUAUUGUUAGAUUUGUCCUAAAAGCUGUAAUUUGAAUAUCAGUAGAUUACUUUAAACUUUAAUUACAACUUGUGUGUUUCUAAAUGUUACAUUCUGAACAGAGAUGGUAAAACAAGACUGAUUAAAAGCAGCUUUAUUUAUUUUUA